AACUUCAGUAACGACAUGGGUAAAAAGCCAUUACUAAUAGUGGGUUUUUUUUUCUUCUCCAGAUAUCAGGUUAAGAUCCUCGGUUCACUAGAUUUUUUUCGAGCUAUGGUUUCUCUCCAUUGCCAUUGGAGUAAAUUCAUCAAGCAACACUAUUCAAAAUAAACAACAACUACAUCAUUUCUGCAGAUAUGCCAAAAAUCUAUUUUCACAUAAGUAAGACAGUGAGGAAAGUUAAAACUAAGCCUCAGAGAAAGAAUUAAAGCUCAUCCUAUCUUCAUCAUGCUAAACGGUCUUUACUGAGUACGAUCUUCCCACAAACUUGAAUUAUA
rnacentral:misc_RNA from 1 species